GGAAUUGUGGCUCAGUGGUAGAGCACUUGCCUAGCAAGUGCAAGGCCCUGGGUUCGAUCCUCAGCACCA
rnacentral:tRNA from 1 species